CCUACGGGAGGCAGCAGUGGGGAAUUUUCCGCAAUGGGCGAAAGCCUGACGGAGCAAUACCGCGUGAGGGAAGACUGCCUAUGGGUUGUAAACCUCUUUUUUCAGGGAGGAAUAAAAUGACGUGUACCUGAAGAAUAAGCAUCGGCUAACUCCGUGCCAGCAGCCGCGGUAAGACGGAGGAUGCAAGUGUUAUCCGGAAUCACUGGGCGUAAAGCGUCUGUAGGUGGUUUAAUAAGUCAACUGUUAAAUCUUGAGGCUCAACUUCAAAACCGCAGUCGAAACUAUUAGACUAGAGUAUAGUAGAGGUAAAGGGAAUUUCCAGUGGAGCGGUGAAAUGCGUAGAUAUUGGAAAGAACACCGAUGGCGAAAGCACUUUACUGGGCUAUUACUAACACUCAGAGACGAAAGCUAGGGUAGCAAAUGGGAUUAGAUACCCCAGUAGUCCUAGCCGUAAACUAUGGAUACUAGAUGUUGAACAGAUCGACCUGUGCAGUAUCAAAGCUAAACGCGUUAAGUAUCCCGCCUGGGAAGUAUGCUCGCAAAGAGUGAAACUNAAAAGGAAUUGACGGCUUGAGAGUUGCGAGCGACACGAGGGAGGAGG
rnacentral:rRNA from 1 species